CCUACGGGAGGCAGCAGUGGGGGAUAUUGCACAAUGGGGGGAACCCUGAUGCAGCGACGCCGCGUGGGUGAAGGAGUGCUUCGGCAUGUAAAGCCCUAUCGGCAGGGAAGAAGCAAGACGGUACCUGACUAAGAAGCCCCGGCUAACUACGUGCCAGCAGCCGCGGUAAUACGUAGGGGGCGAGCGUUAUCCGGAUUCACUGGGUGGAAAGGGAGCGUAGACGGCCAUGCAAGCCAGGGGUGAAAGCCCGGGGCCCAACCCCGGGACUGCCCUUGGAACUGCAUGGCUGGAGUGCGGGAGGGGCAGGCGGAAUUCCUGGGGUAGCGGUGAAAUGCGUAGAUAUCAGGAGGAACACCGGCGGCGAAGGCGGCCUGCUGGACCGCGACUGACGUUGAGGCUCGAAAGCGUGGGGAGCGAACAGGAUUAGAUACCCCAGUAGUC
rnacentral:rRNA from 1 species